GCGUAGAUAUCGGGAGGAACACCCGUGGCGAAGACGGCCUUCGGGGCUGUUCCUGACGCUGAAGUCGAAAGCUAGGGGANCGAACGGGAUUAGAUACCCCGUUANCUUUAGCUGUAAACGAUGGAUGAUGGGUUUGGGGGGUGUAAAUUCCGUCUGUGCCGAAGCAAACGCGUUAAGCAUCCCGCUUGGUGACUACGGCAGCAAGGCUACAACUCGGACGAAUUGACGGGGGCCCGCACAAGCAGCGGAGCGUGUGGCUUCAUUCGAUGCUACACGAAGAACCUUACCUGGGUCAGACAUGCACAUGGUAGGGAACCGCUAGGGGACCGACCUUCGGGAGCAUGCACAGGUUCUGCAUGUCUGUUGUCAGCAUCGUCCCGUGAGGCGUCGGGUUAAGUCCCGUAACGAGCGCAACACUGUGCCCUUAGUUACAAGUGUCUAAGGGGACUCCCCGGGUCAACUGGGAGGAAGGUGGGGAUGACGUCAUGUCUAGCUUGGCUUUUAUUAUCCAGGGCUACACACACGCUACAAUGGCCGGUACAAUAGGGGGCGAAGUCGUGAGGCGGAGCCAAUCGUCAAAGCCGGUCGCAGUUCGAAUUGCAGUCUGCAACUCGUCUGCAUGAAGCUGGAGUUGCUAGUAAUCGCAGGUCAGCUAUACUGCGGUGAUACGUUCCCGGGCCUUGUACACACCGCCCGUCACGUCAUGGAAGCUGGCAACACACUGAAGCCUGGUGAGCUCACCCGCA
rnacentral:rRNA from 1 species